rnacentral:rRNA from 1 species
UACGAAGGGGGCUAGCGUUGUUCGGAAUCACUGGGCGUAAAGGGCGCGUAGGCGGCCGAUCAAGUCGGGGGUGAAAGCCUUUGGCUCAACCACAGAAUUGCCUUCGAUACUGUUUGGCUUGAGACCGGAAGAGGUUAGUGGAACUGCGAGUGUAGAGGUGAAAUUCGUAGAUAUUCGCAAGAACACCAGUGGCGAAGGCGGCUGACUGGUCCGGUUCUGACGCUGAGGCGCGAAAGCGUGGGGAGCAAACAGG